UCCCAGCGUGGAGCGUCAGACCAGGAGGAGGAGGAACAGGAGGAACACCACUCUCCGCCCGGAGCCUCUCAGGCUGCCUGACGGUUCUGCUGGGCUCCUCAGAGCUGCAUCUCUCUGGCUGAGGAGACCUGCUCCUCCUGCUGCUGCCCGGGUCAGGAUCCAGCCCGGCUCGCAUUACGCUCCGGGUCACAGAGGGAGAGGUGACCCAGAACCAUGGGAGGCAUUUAGGAGGUCCAGCUGGAAGGAGCAGUCCUGGUUCCUCACAGGUCGGGCUGAGCUGCUGCAGAGGUAACUCCUCAGAGACAGAGCAAGCUUCCAGGAUGCUGGCAGGAUUCCCAGCAGUUAUUCCUGAUCCACGCAGCCGGAGCUGAACCUCAGCAGCUGAAGGAUCCGGUCACCAUCAGAGGCUUUAUUCUGGAAUCUGUGGAAUCAUCAGAGGUUUAGAGAAACCAGGAGAAAAGUUUUGGCAGCAUCUCCUCCACCUGGAAUCUGAGUCUGGACUUUCCUUCUGGAUCCAUCAGAAAACUAAAAGUUUUCCUGUAAGAAUCAAGCUUCAGCCUUCCUGGCUGUGGAGGUUUCAUCGUUUUGGGAGCAGAAAGCAUCUGAGGAGCAUUUGGGAGCCUGGAAACAUGUCAACACCUGUUUCCACUCUCCAUUUACUGAACGGUCAAGUUAAGAAGAAAGAUUCCAGGAUAUUCUGCAGCGUCUCACACAUCCUUCCUCCAUAAUGUCUUUUUUUGUUUUUUAAAUUCAUUUUUUAGUGGCUGGAUGCCAACCUGUCAGUAAAAAAUGCAGAGUGGAGCCUCUAUUUCUAGGAAAUACUGACGGAACAGGAACGCCUCUGAAUAAAGAACAUUUGCUGAGUAAAUAAAAUCAACUUUCUGAUAUUAAACAAAGCAGAUCUGA